GGAGAUCGCUGAUCGGGCCAAGGAAACUAGGAAACGCGCCGAAGAAUUAGGUAUGAGGAAAAAAAGAGGAUGGGAUAUUUCUUCUCGAGCCCCACGCAGGUGGGACACGCCCAUCUCGCUUAGCACGGAAGGCACGCAUCCAGCCCAAUCAUUUCCUCUUCCCCUCCACCCAGUUCUUGCAAUCUACUGAUGCGCCGCCGCGCUCUCUCUUCGACGGUAUUCCAUCAUCAAAUUCGCUACCGCCACCAUCUUCAUCUCCAUGCCCGUCCGUUGCAGCAGCCCACCCAAAAGCAGGCCGAAGAGGAGAAAAGUGUGCGAUUUGGUGGCGGCGGCAUCCACGGUGGCAACAGAACCGACCUCCACAGCGGUCGUAACUAGGGACGGUGGCGGCGGAAUUUGAAAACGGCGGAGACCUGCGCCACGACCCCUCCGGCAAUGAUCGUUGAUUUGUCAUGUCGAGAGAGUGUUUGAUGAAUUUUGAUGUAGUCAAAGAUAAUCCGUCACUGAUGUUGUUUCUGCAUAUGUUAUUUUCCUGAUUUAGAUAACCUUUUUCAAUCUUCUGAUUUGGCAGUUCCGUGUAGACAUGAAAUUGCUUCAUUCUAUCCUGCAGUUUAGGUACACUCCUUCAAUUGAAUUAAGUGAAAAAAGUUGUAGGGGUUUGUGAUCCAUCCAAAUAAAUAUAUUUGAAGGUUUUAUGAUGUCUGGAGUCAUCCUACAUUCUUUGCCUUCGCUAUGCUUUUAUCUACUAAGCAUCUAUAACCUACAAAAGUUAAGUUACAUAGCUAAAUUAAAGACCGCUAUAUCACUGCUCGUAAGAUUUCCAAUGAAUUAACUAUUUCCAGAGAUUCAGUUGAAAACCUGCAAAUCUCUAUCAAAAUUUACAUGCCCAGGAGAAGAGAAACACUUAGGUCAAUGGUAGCCCACCUCCAAUAUUGCUGCUUAUGCUGAUUCUGCACACAAAUAUUUGGAGUGAAAAGGUAAAGGAUUAGAAUUGAGCUAAAGGUCAACUUGUUUUGUAUAUUUUGAAUUGUUCUCACAGGAAAGUUUUUCUUGUUUAUCUAUAAUGCAAUCACCCCCACACUCUCUACUUUCAUGAAAUUUUGUAGUUUGUAGAUUAAGAGUGAGAGUAUGUUAAUGGUCUUGGACCAGUAUGGUUUGUGGCUACUACUGGCAUGUCCUGUGAAGUUGCAUGUUGUGUGACAAGUAUAGUGGAUCUAAAACUAUUCACAGUUUACCAUUUUAAUUGUUUGAGAAAGUAGUACUCCCUCUAGCCCGAAUUAAUUGACGCAGCUCAUGAAUUGAUUAAUGUAGAGAGGAGGCCCUUGGCAAAUGCGGUGCAAGAUGCUGAUAACCAACAUUUUGCCUUGGUCUCCGAGAGUUUCAGUGACCCCGGUCCACAUGGAGCAGGUAGAUACUCUGACAAUAUGUUACAUGAUAUGGUCAAGAGAGAUUGGAGAAAAAGGUGCACAAGGGAUAAUUUAUAUGCUUGAUUGCCUUAGAAAGUGCAAGCAUCGUUUCGAGAUUGGAGAAAAAGUGUCUCGCAGUGAAACAGCAGCAUGCAGUUCUAUUCUUGCUGGCACUUCACCAAGGAAAGAUCAAAUGCUACUAUAAGAAUAUCGAUGGACGAAGUGGUGGUGGUUACAUUGACAAGUCAGCGAGCAUCACUGCCAAACACCUUAUGCCACAGUGCCCCAACUCUCCGCUUCAUAGGUGAUAUGGCAGACAAGGACACCCACCUUUUUUUCGAUUUGAUGUUUGUUCAGGACGCACGGGUUUUUACUAAACUGCAUCUUAUGUUCAUCCUUUGUUUCAUCUUCACAAGACAGUGGGAUUGUUUUUAUUUUAGUUCUUAGAUUUUUUGGUGCUCUACCUUGGAGCCUGAGUACAAAUAUGACUUGUGUAUGCAGCGUGCUAGCAUCAUCAUGUAUUGUAGUUUUUUUUAAUUUCCUUUCUACUUAUGAAAUAUUAUCUGUCAUUAUGAACUUCACAUUGUUGUUUAGCUGAUAUUAUCGUGUCAACCAGAUAGCUCUCCAAGUAUCAAGCUCUGCUUAGGAUUUAUGACUGCACCAAAUAUGAGGUUGUAUUACAUGUUGCCAGCAGGCAGAAAGAAUGCAUUGGCAGAAACGAGGCUGAGAGUUUAAGGUCCUUCUUCAGGAGAUUAGUACUUAUUUUGUCUUGCAAGAAGCUAUGUAUCUAGAUUUACGAAUAGUCUCGCUGUUUUUAUAUGUGAGACAGUUGUUUUACAUCUUCAUUGUUCUGCCCAAAGUUCAAAACUUUGAUUUCUGCAAACAAGCUGCCUGAGAAGGCUCAUCUGCCCCAA